AAGCGUUAUCCGGAAUUAUUGGGCGUAAAGCGUCCGCAGGUGGCUGUUCAAGUCUGCUGUCAAAGCGCAGAGCUUAACUCUGUACAGGCGGUGGAAACUGAAGAGCUAGAGUAUGGUAGGGGUAGAGGGAAUUCCCGGUGUAGCGGUGAAAUGCGUAGAUAUCGGGAAGAACACCAGUGGCGAAAGCGCUCUACUGGGCCAUAACUGACACUGAGGGACGAAAGCUAGGGGAGCGAAAGGG
rnacentral:rRNA from 1 species